GCGGAGGUCCCAUCACUGAGGCGUUUUGUGCAAACUGUCCUCGAUGGAGCAGGUGUCCUCUCUUUUCCAGGACAUUGAAAGACAGAACAGCUCCUCUGGGACUCGGUGCGGCAGAGAAUGCCUGUAAAGUGACGACAGGCCUGAGAGGUUCCGGGGAGGCGAUGCACUUGGGUCUGUGGCAAUCCUGCAUCAAGCAAGUCUAUCAGCACCAUUUUUCCAACAGGCUCAGAUAAUGGUGAGCACUUUUAAAUUAAGGUAUGUGCACUGUUUUUUAUAGACAUACUGAUAUUAUUGCACUUAUUAGACUACAGUAUUGUGUAAACAUUACUUUUAUAUGCACCAGAAAACAUUGUGGUGGUCUGAAACCUAACCUGCACUAUCUAUGAGGCAUGCUUGUACCAGGUGCCUGCAAGGGUGAAGCCCUCUAUUGCUGGCAUCGCCUUUGCUUUGGGAACCUGAACAGAUCAAAUAGAAACCUGCAAACCUGAGU